rnacentral:rRNA from 2 species
GUGCGAGACCGAUAGCGAACAAGUACCGUGAGGGAAAGAUGAAAAGAACUUUGAAAAGAGAGUUAAAGAGUACCUGAAACUGCUGAAAGGGAAUCGAAUCGUUUCCAGUGUCUAUAAUCGAUGGCAUAUUUCAUUGGCGAGUGAGUGCGUGCAGCGUUUUGGAAGUGGUUUUCCGCUCCUGUCGUUGUUGUGCAUUUGCUUGCUGGUGCCCUGUGCUGUGGUGGGACGUCAGAGUCAGUUUGUGUGUCGCGGGAAAUGGUUAUUGGGGAGGUAGGUCGCUUCGGUGGCUAUUAUAUCCUGGUAACUAGUCGUCGUGGCUGAGACUGAGGUGCCUACAAUGUGCUUUCGAGUGUGCGGGUUUCUCGUGUGGCUGUUGCUUUGAUAGCUUGCUAUGUUGGUGAAUAAGUUGUGCGAUUGAGACCUGUAUUAACUUGUUGCUGUUCGGGACUUUG